rnacentral:rRNA from 1 species
AGGUGCCCCGCUGCCGGUCGGUUCACAGCUGGUGCAUGGUCGUCGUCAGCUCGUGUCGGUGAGAUGUUGGCUUAAGUCCCGCAACGAGCGCAACCCUCGUUCUAUGUUGCCAGCGCGUAAUGUCGGGGACUCAUAGGAGACUGCCGGGGUCAACUCGGAGGAAGGUGGGGACGACGUCAAAUCAUCAUGCCCCUUAUGUCUUGGGCUUCACGCAUGGUACAAUGGCCGGUACAAAGGGUUGCGAUACUGUGAGGUGGAGCUAAUCCCAAAAAGCCGGUCUCAGUUCGGAUUGGGGUCUGCAACUCGACCCCAUGAAGUCGGAGUCGUCUAGUAAUCGCAGAUCAGCAACGCUGCGGUGAUACGUUCCCGGGC